rnacentral:rRNA from 1 species
AACGAACGCUGGCGGCAUGCCUAGCACAUGCAAGUCGAACGAAGGCUUCGGCCUUAGUGGCGCACGGGUGCGUAACGCGUGGGAAUCUGCCCUUUGCUUCGGAAUAACAGUUAGAAAUGACUGCUAAUACCGGAUGAUGUCGCAAGACCAAAGAUUUAUCGGCAAAGGAUGAGCCCGCGUAGGAUUAGCUAGUUGGUGGGGUAAAGGCCUACCAAGGCGACGAUCCUUAGCUGGUCUGAGAGGAUGAUCAGCCACACUGGGACUGAGACACGGCCCAGACUCCUACGGGAGGCAGCAGUGGGGAAUAUUGGACAAUGGGCGAAAGCCUGAUCCAGCAAUGCCGCGUGAGUGAUGAAGGCCUUAGGGUUGUAAAGCUCUUUUACCCGGGAUGAUAAUGACAGUACCGGGAGAAUAAGCUCCGGCUAACUCCGUG